rnacentral:rRNA from 1 species
GCGUUCUGUAAGCGGUUGAAGGUGUGUGGUAACGCAUGCUGGACGUAUCAGAAGUGCGAAUGCUGACAUGAGUAACGAUAAAGGGGGUGAAAAACCUCCUCGCCGGAAGACCAAGGGUUCCUGUCCAACGUUAAUCGGGGCAGGGUAAGUCGACCCCUAAGGCGAGGCCGAAAGGCGUAGUCGAUGGGAAACGGGUUAAUAUUCCCGUACUUCUUACAAUUGCGAUGGGGGGACGGAGAAGGCUAGGUGGGCCUGGCGACGGUUGUCCAGGUUCAAGUGCGUAGGCUGAGAAAUUAGGUAAAUCCGGUUUCUCUUAAGGCUGAGACACGACGUCGAGCAUCUACGGAUGUGAAGUCAUUGAUGCCAUGCUUCCAGGAAAAGCCUCUAAGCUUCAGAUUGUAAGGAAUCGUACCCCAAACCGACACAGGUGGUCGGGUAGAGAAUACCAAGGCGCUUGAGAGAACUCGGGUGAAGGAACUAGGCAAAAUGGUACCGUAACUUCGGGAGAAGGUACGCUCUCGACGGUGAAGUCCCUCGCGGAUGGAGCUAUUGAGAGUCGCAGAUACCAGGUGGCUGCAACUGUUUAUUAAAAACACAGCACUGUGCAAAAUCGCAAGAUGACGUAUACGGUGUGACGCCUGCCCGGUGCCGGAAGGUUAAUUGAUGGGGUUAGACUUCGGUCGAAGCUCUUGAUCGAAGCCCCGGUAAACGGCGGCCGUAACUAUAACGGUCCUAAGGUAGCGAAAUUCCUUGUCGGGUAAGUUCCGACCUGCACGAAUGGCGUAAUGAUGGCCACGCUGUCUCCACCCGAGACUCAGUGAAAUUGAAAUCGCUGUGAAGAUGCAGUGUACCCGCGGCUAGACGGAAAGACCCCGUGAACCUUUACUACAGCUUGGCACUGAACAUUGACCCUACAUGUGUAGGAUAGGUGGGAGGCUUUGAAGCGCAGUCGCUAGAUUGCGUGGAGCCGUCCUUGAAAUACCACCCUUGUAGUGUUGAUGUUCUAACGUCGACCCCUUAUCGGGGUUGCGGACAGUGCCUGGUGGGUAGUUUGACUGGGGCGGUCUCCUCCCAAAGCGUAACGGAGGAGCACGAAGGUGGGCUAAUCACGGUUGGACAUCGUGAGGUUAGUGCAAUGGCAUAAGCCCGCUUGACUGCGAGAAUGACAAUUCGAGCAGGUGCGAAAGCAGGUCAUAGUGAUCCGGUGGUUCUGAAUGGAAGGGCCAUCGCUCAACGGAUAAAAGGUACUCCGGGGAUAACAGGCUGAUACCGCCCAAGAGUUCAUAUCGACGGCGGUGUUUGGCACCUCGAUGUCGGCUCAUCACAUCCUGGGGCUGAAGUCGGUCCCAAGGGUAUGGCUGUUCGCCAUUUAAAGUGGUACGCGAGCUGGGUUUAGAACGUCGUGAGACAGUUCGGUCCCUAUCUGCCGUGGGCGUUGGAGAAUUGAAAGGGGCUGCUCCUAGUACGAGAGGACCGGAGUGGACGAACCUCUGGUGUUCGGGUUGUGUCGCCAGACGCAUUGCCCGGUAGCUAAGUUCGGGAUCGAUAACCGCUGAAAGCAUCUAAGCGGGAAGCGAGCCUUGAGAUGAGUUCUCCCUGAUACUUUAAGUAUCCUAAAGGGUUGUCGUAGACUACGACGUUGAUAGGCAGGGUGUGUAAGCGUUGUGAGGCGUUGAGCUAACCUGUACUAAUUGCCCGUGAGGCUUAACCAU